CCUACGGGAGGCAGCAGUGGGGAAUCUUGCGCAAUGGGCGAAAGCCUGACGCAGCAACGCCGCGUGCGGGAAGAAGGCUUUCGGGCUGUAAACCGCUUUCAGCAGGAACGAAAAUGACGGUACCUGCAGAAGAAGGAGCGGCCAACUAUGUGCCAGCAGCCGCGGUGAUACAUAGGCUUCAAGCGUUGUCCGGAUUUAUUGGGCGUAAAGAGUUCGUAGGCGGUCAAGUAAGUCGGGUGUGAAAAUUCUGGGCUCAACCCAGAGACGCCACCCGAUACUGCUUAACUUGAGUUCGAUAGGGGAGUGGGGAAUUCCUAGUGUAGCGGUGAAAUGCGCAGAUAUUAGGAGGAACACCGGUGGCGAAGGCGCCACUCUGGAUCGAUACUGACGCUGAGGAACGAAAGCAUGGGUAGCAAACAGGAUUAGAUACCCUGGUAGUCCAUGCCGUAAACGGUGGGCACUAGGUGUGGGUUUCUAUUAACGAAAUCCGCGCCGUCGCUAACGCAUUAAGUGCCCGCGUGGGGAGGUACGGUCGCGAGACUAAACUACAAGAAGUAGACGGCGNGAGACGNGCGACGACGACGACGAGGAGAG
rnacentral:rRNA from 1 species